rnacentral:miRNA from 1 species
CAAGGUCUUCCUCACAGUAGC